GAUCCCUACUUACAUACUUUGCUACAAUUGAUAAAAAGAGGGUUAAUUUGUGUGUCAACAUAAUUUUCACAUCAUAUACCUCUUAAUAUAGACUUGAGACCAAGGAUGGACCACCUCCAAGCUCUUUGUUCUUGGAACUCCUUGAGUCUAGCCUCCCUCCUAGCUUCCUCCACCUUGAAAGAUUUAGAGCUUCUUUCUCCUUUAGUCUCCAAAGUAGAAAACCUCUAAAGAUCCACACCCACUAGUGUAGUGAGAUGGAUAAUGGAAUAAACAAAAGGAGGAGAAAUGAUUAGCUUUCCCUCCUCUUGGUGGUCGGCUAUAAGUGUGUAGAGAGAGAGAGACUUGUUUUCUCUUUUGUUGAAAAGAACACACAAAACCCUAAUGAAACUUUUUCACUAAACUUCCUUUAUAAAUGUCAAAGAAGUGAGUCAACCACUUGACUCCCUCUCUCUCCUUUCACUUCUACUGGCCGGUCCCUUAGUGUGGGUUUGGACUUUGGGCUUUCAUCGUCUCAAGUCAUUCUAUGCUUGAAUAAAAGGACCCAAUUCGUUUAGGCCCAAUGGGCCCAAAUGAACUCGAACUUUUCUUUAAGUCCUAAACGAUCUUUAUCGUUUAUAUGAUUUCUUUAGACUUUCUCAUUAAUCAUAACACUUAAUUAAUCCAAUUAAUUAAUUCCAUCAUCCAUUAGUUGUCUAACCACAAGAGUGUAUCGGUGUAUAAUCGUUUUAGGUUCUAAUUAGCAAGGCAGUGAAGUGAUUGGUACCAAUCCAAACGAUUAGUAUUUAUCCAAUCACUUAGUGAAUUAAAACUUACUUUUAAUUCUCCUUCUUCUUUGAUGACUACUUAUUUAAUCAUCUAGAAGAACCCACAAGCCAUGAGUGACAUCUAAUCAUAUAUCAUGGCUACCCAAGCUAAUGUAGAAUUUGUUCGAAGAACCUAUUCAGUUGGAAUUACAAUAUAAUUCGAUCCUUCUCUAAUACAAUACUCACAAUCACAUUACUAGGGUAUGGAUAUUUAAUGUCAAACCCCUAAUGUGAUUAUAUCAAGUUAUAUGAUUCUAUUGAGUCGUAUAGGAACGUUUUCCAUCAUUACGCUCGAUACUUCGGCCAAAGAUUCCUGAAUCAUAUCUUAGAGUAUUCAUCCUCUCAUAACGAGGAUUAGAGAUCCCU
rnacentral:lncRNA from 1 species